AGAUGUUAAAAGCAAGAGACAUGGGAGAGCAUCAUUCCUUUGAGAUUUUAUAAAUCAAACCAAGUUUGGAGUUGUCUUGUCUGAUUUGGAGAGUCAUUAUUCUUGGUCUUCGCUCUUAGAGGCCACUGAUGAAGAAC